AAUUUUGGACAAUGGGGGCAACCCUGAUCCAGCCAUCCCGCGUGGGCAAUGAAGGCCUCCGGGUUGUAAAGUACUUUUGUCAGGGAAGAAAAGGCGCAGGCUAAUACCCUGUGCCGCUGACGGUACCUGCAGAAUAAGCACCGGCUAACUACGAGCCAGCAGCCGCGGUAAUACGUAGGGUGCAAGCGUUAAUCGGAAUUACUGGGCGUAAAGCGUGCGUCGGCUGUUUGGCAAGAAAGGUGUGAAAUCCCAGAGCUUAACUUUGGAACUGCACUUUUAACUGCCAGGCUAGAGUAUGUCAGAGGGGGGUAGAAUUCCGCGUGUAGCAGUGAAAUGCGUAGAGAUGCGGAGGAAUACCGAUGGCGAAGGCAGCCCCCUGGGAUAAUACUGACGCUCAGGCACGAAAGCGUGGGGAGCAAAC
rnacentral:rRNA from 1 species